GCCCGUCUAGCCCAAUGGCAAGAGGCACAGCGCUUAGACCGCUGGUGUUCCCGGUUCGAGUCCGGGGGCGGGCA
rnacentral:tRNA from 1 species